rnacentral:rRNA from 1 species
AGAGUUUGAUUAUGGCUCAGAAUGAACGCUGGCGGCAUGGCUAAAACAUGCAAGACGAUCCCUUCGGGGAGAGUGGCGAAAGGGCGAGGAAUACGAUCGAACGUACCCCGAGGUGUGGGAUAGCUUAUGGAAACGUAAGGUAAUACCACAUAAUCUCUACGGAGCAAAGGCUUGCUGCCUUGGGAGCGGCGAUCGUCCUAUCAGGUAGUUGGUGAGGUAAAGGCUCACCAAGCCGAAGACGGGUAGCGGGUGUGAGAGCAUGACCCGCCGCAUCGGGACUGAGACACUGCCCGGACUCCUACGGGAGGCUGCAGUAACGAAUCUUCCGCAAUGGGCGAAAGCCUGACGGAGCAAUGCCGCGUGUAGGAUUAAGCAUCUUCGAUGUGUAAACUACUGUCAAUGACAGAAACAAUGAUCAGUCAUAAAGGAAGGACCGGCUAAUUCAGUGCCAGCAGCCGCGGUAAUACUGAAGGUCCAAGCGUUAAUCGGAAUCACUGGGCUUAAAGCGUACGCAGGCGGAUUUGUAGGUAUCUUGUGAAAUCCCACGGCUCAACCGUGGAACUGCAGGGUAAACCACAAAUCUUGAGACAAGUAGGGGUUAGUGGAACGAUAUGUGGAGCGGUGAAAUGCGUAGAUAUAUAUCGGAACGCCAAUGGCGAAGGCAGCUAACUGGGCUUGUUCUGACGCUCAGGUACGAAAGCGUGGGUAGCGAACGGGAUUAGAUCCCCGGGUAGUCCACGCCGUAAACGAUGCACACUAGGUCGCGGAGCCUCUCAUGGUCUCGCGGCCGAAGGUAAACUGAUUAGUGUGCCGCCUGGGGAGUACGGUCGCAAGGCUAAAACUCAAAGGAAUUGACGGGGGCUCACACAAGCGGUGGAGCAUGUUGCUUAAUUCGAGGCAACGCGAAGAACCUUACCUGGGUUUGACAUGCACGGAUUAACUCUGUGAAAGCAGAGCCACAGUCGCAAGACCGGAACAUGCACAGGUGCUGCAUGGCUGUCGUCAGCUCGUGCUGUGAAGUGUCGGGUUAAGUCCCUUAACGAGCGCAACCCCUAUCGCUAGGUGCUAACGCGUCAUGGCGAGAACUCUAGCGAGACUGCCGGGUCAAACCGGAGGAAGGUGGGGAUGACGUCAAGUCCGCAUGGCCCUUAUGUCCUGGGCUGCAAACGUGCUACAAUGGCGCGUACAAAGCGAAGCGAUGUCGCAAGGCGGAGCAAAUCGCAAAAAGCGCGCCUCAGUUCGGAUUGCAGGCUGCAACUCGCCUGCAUGAAGUCGGAAUCGCUAGUAAUCGGAGAUCAGCUACGCUCCGGUGAAUGUGUCCCUGAGCCUUGUACACACCGCCCGUCACGUCAUGGAAGCCGGGAGUGCCCGAAGUCGCCUCAUUUCAGGGGUGCCUACGGCAAGUUCGGUGACUGGGACUAAGUCGUAACAAGGUAGCCGUAGGAGAACCUGCGGCUGGAUCACCUCCUUU